AAAAUGCGAUAAGUAAUGUGAAUUGCAGAAUUCAGUGAAUCAUCGAAUCUUUGAACGCACAUUGCGCCCGCCAGUAUUCUGGCGGGCAUGCCUGUCUGAGCGUCAUUUCAACCCUCGGGACCCCGUUCGCGGGACCCGGCGUUGGGGAUCAGCCCGAAGCCCCCCCGGGGCGGGCGGCUGGCCCCGAAAUCUAGUGGCGGUCCCCCCAGCGACCUCCUCUGCGCAGUAGUAACUCACCUAGCAGCUGGACAGCGGGAGGGCCACGCCGUAAAACCCCCAACUUCUCAAAGGUUGACCUCAGAUCAGGUAGGAAUACCCGCUGAACUUAAGC
rnacentral:misc_RNA from 1 species